GGGGCCGACUGGUUUUGACAGCAUAGGGCAGGGUAAGUGUAAGCAUGUCGUGCGUUGUGUAAUUAGCACGUAAAUCUGAAUACCCAAACUUUAAAUGGCGAAUAUUCUUACGCCAUGGCUGCUUAAUUCAAAUUAAGUAACCAUUUUGGCCGCCGUGUGUGGAUGCCUGUAACCGCCGCCGCCGCCUAAAUCAGAAAAAUAUCAGGAUAGCGUUCCCUUUGCUGCGCAGGGAGUGUGAAACUAAAGCAGUGUAGGGAAAGGGUAAGUUCGCCCGGCUCUGGCUCUUUUCCGAAAUCAAAUUCCGGGAUAAACAUGUAGAAAGCUUAUCGGGCAUAUGUUUGGACGCGGGUUCGAAUCCCGCCGGUUCCACAA
rnacentral:tmRNA from 1 species